rnacentral:rRNA from 1 species
CGGGUUUGGUUCUCCGCAUGGACGAAGUCUGACGGAGCAACGCCGCGUGAGUGAUGAAGGUUUUCGGAUCGUAAAGCUCUGUUGUUAGGGAAGAACAAGUGCAAGAGUAACUGCUUGCACCUUGACGGUACCUAACCAGAAAGCCACGGCUAACUACGUGCCAGCAGCCGCGGUAAUACGUAGGUGGCAAGCGUUGUCCGGAAUUAUUGGGCGUAAAGGGCUCGCAGGCGGUUUCUUAAGUCUGAUGUGAAAGCCCCCGGCUCAACCGGGGAGGGUCAUUGGAAACUGGGAAACUUGAGUGCAGAAGAGGAGAGUGGAAUUCCACGUGUAGCGGUGAAAUGCGUAGAGAUGUGGAGGAACACCAGUGGCGAAGGCGACUCUCUGGUCUGUAACUGACGCUGAGGAGCGAAAGCGUGGGGAGCGAACAGGAUUAGAUACCCUGGUAGUCCACGCCGUAAACGAUGAGUGCUAAGUGUUAGGGGGUUUCCGCCCCUUAGUGCUGCAGCUAACGCAUUAAGCACUCCGCCUGGGGAGUACGGUCGCAAGACUGAAACUCAAAGGAAUUGACGGGGGCCCGCACAAGCGGUGGAGCAUGUGGUUUAAUUCGAAGCAACGCGAAGAACCUUACCAGGUCUUGACAUCCUCUGACAACCCUAGAGAUAGGGCUUUCCCUUCGGGGACAGAGUGACAGGUGGUGCAUGGUUGUCGUCAGCUCGGGUCGCGAGAUGUUGGGUUAAGUCCCGCAACGAGCAAACCCUUGAUCUUAGUGCCAGUAUACAUUUGGUGACUCUAGUGAGACUGCCUGUGACAAACCGACAGGAGGUGACUAUGACGUCAAUGUCGUGCUCCUUAUGACCUGUUCUACACACGUGCUACCGUGGAUACAACCAGGGCUGAUGACGGCACGAUUGCCAUACCACGGUCUGGUUCUGCCGUGCGAUGA